GGAAAUGACCCUUACGGGCCCCCGUAAGACAGGCUCUUGCCAACUUCGCGUCUCAUUGGUGGCGGAAGAAGUGGGCGGGUCGACCGAGGAGCCUGAGGAAGAGGGCGGCGGCGUUCGUGGUGAUUGAACGGAGCCCUGGUGACAGGAUGGACCUGUAUAUAGUGGUGGCUGACCUAAAACUUCCUAUAGAGCUAGUUGGUGUUGGUACUAGGAGAUCUGCACAUUCCGCACCGGUGCAACAGCCUGCCGGCCAAGUUUAAAAAACUCCUGGUGCCAGGAAAAAUCCAGCACAUCCUCUGCACCGGCAACCUCUGCACCAAGGAGAGCUACGACUAUCUCAAGACUCUGGCUGGCGACGUCCACAUCGUGAGAGGAGACUUCGAUGAGAAUCUGAAUUACCCAGAACAAAAGGUUGUGACUGUGGGCCAGUUCAAGAUCGGUCUGAUCCACGGACACCAAGUUAUUCCGUGGGGAGACAUGGCUAGCUUAGCCCUGCUGCAGAGGCAGUUUGAUGUGGACAUUCUUAUCUCAGGACACACACACAAAUUUGAAGCAUUUGAGCAUGAAAAUAAAUUCUACAUUAACCCAGGUUCUGCCACUGGGGCCUAUAAUGCCUUGGAAACAAACAUUAUUCCAUCGUUUGUGCUGAUGGACAUCCAGGCUUCUACUGUGGUCACUUACGUCUAUCAACUAAUUGGAGAUGACGUCAAAGUAGAACGAAUUGAGUAUAAAAAGUCGUAAAGCCAGGCUGGUCUCCACCACUUAUUUUGUCCUCAUUUCAUUGUUUAAAUCAAAUAAUUAAACACUUAAGAGGCACACAGUUGUAUCACUUUUAUAAUACUUUGCACUAAAAAGUCUUCUCUGUUAAUCCAUAGUUGCUCUAAAGCUUCUUGUAAACUGUUAAGAAUAUAUUUAGUUUGCAGUGUAUGGUUUCUAUAAGAAGCAGCCCACCCAACAGUGCAGGGCCACGUUAGGAAGUUGUCCUUGUAAAUAGCCUCCUAGUUGGUAUUUGGACUUCAUUACAAAACUAGCGCAUGAAGAGAAAGAAUCCAGACUUUGUGUGUAUGUUUUCUCUUCUCUGGUAAUAAAUGUGUACCUUCCAUUUAGACUUUCUUGAAAACCUGUGUUUAAUUUAAAAACCAUAGACUUGAAAUCUCAGCACUCAAGAGGCAGAGGCAGGUGGAUCUCUUAAGCAUUUUUUGCCAAUGCUAGGCCAGCCAAAGCUACACAGGAGACCCUGGCUCAAAAACAAAACAAACACAAGAACAUAAAAAUGAGAAGCCAAAUGCAACUGCCGAUGUGCUAGAGUGAAGGGCACACAACUGCAGAUGUGUUAGAGCAGUUAUGAUCCUGUGUCUGAGACUCCUUUGGGGUGUAACAACCCUUUUACAGGGGUCACCUGAGACUGUUAGAAAAUAGAUAUUAGAUGGGUUGUGGUGCACGCCUUUAAUCCCUGUCGGGAGGCAGUGGCAGGUGGAUCUAUUGAGUUCAAAGCCAGCCUGGUCUACCGAAUAAGUUCCUGGACACACAGGGCUACACAGACAAACUUCUGCCUCUUGAGUGUUGGGAUUAAAGGUGUGGCUACCACUGUCCAACUCAACAGCGAUUCAUUUUUUUUUUUUAAAGAUUCAUUUAUUUCAUGUAUGUGAGUGCACUGUAGCUGUCUUCAGACACACCAGAAGAGGGCAUCAGAUCUCAUUACGGAUGGUUGUGAGCCACCAUGUGGUUGCUGGGGAUUGAACUCAGGGCCUCUGGAAGAGCAGCCAGUGCUCUUAACGGCUGAGUCAUCUCUCCAGCCCUCAGCAAUGAUUCUUAAGCCUUGUUGCACGAGUGUUUGUUUGGAUUUAACAAUUUUUUCAGACAGUAUCUUACUAUAUACCUGAAUUCACAGUGUAGCUCAGGCUGGCCUGGAACUCACAGAAAUCUGUGUCUGUCUUUGCCUCCCAAGCACUAGGAUUAAAGGUGUAUAUCACUAUGCCUAUCUUAGCCACAGGUUUUUAAUUUAUAUUUACUAGCAAAUAUUGACCAAUCUGCUUUUGAAGGUGAGAUCUGCAAAUACUAUUCUGUGUAAAUAUUUUCCAGUUUCCUGGUUUAAUCAAGAAAAACUUUCUGGAAUAACCAACAAUUACAUGUACACGCACACAUUUACAAAGUUAUAAACUAUAAAUUUAUAAACUAAAAGGAGAAAUAAUAUAUUUGCCAGACUCGGGGCUGGAGAGAUGCCUCAGUGGCAGUUUAAGAGCACUGCCUGCUUUCCCAGGAUGGGGUUCAAUUCCCAGCAUCCACAUGGCAGCUAUACUGUCUAUAACUCCAGCCCCAUAAGUUCCAGGACCUUUACACAGACAGACAUGCAGGCAAAGCACCAAUGCACAUAAAAUAAAGAUAAUUUAAAAUUCAGUUUUAUGUUGCAAGUAAAAUUUUAAUUGUUCUAGCUAGAAACAAGCAUACAUUACACAUUAACACAGAAAUAUAUCAGACGAAGGCGGCUAUUAUAAAUUUCUCAACAACCAAAAUAACAUACCGUUACUACUAGUACUAUCCCAUACAUGGUCCACUCUUCCCUGUGCACUCAGCAUGUGGAUGUUAGCUGAUGGCUGAGCUUGGUGUGGAGGACUAGACCGUCAGGCUGGCGUGAGCUGGGCCUUGUUCUUGGAUGGACAUGGACUGCAUGCACUUAUUCAGCAGAUCCUCCUCCUGUGUUUCUUCACUCGGGCAUGACUGAGAAUCAUUAGAAGGAACUACAGGGAAGAUAAGUGUUUAUAAUGCAUUCUGGAAAUAAAAUUCUUUAAUUUUAUUACUAUUA